GUGGCUGAGUUUUUCCUGCUGCCUGCAGAGCAAUAUGGAGAAAUCUCAGAUUCUUCUCCAGCACUAUCUGCCUGCAUGCUGCUAUGCUUCCUGCCAUGAAGAUAAUAAACCAAACCUCUGGAACUUGGCUGUCACCUUCCCUUUUAAGCUGAAGAUCACAGGAUAUCCGCACCAAACACCUAGGAUCAACAGAAGUAUUAAAAAAAUACGGAUAACCACA